rnacentral:tRNA from 1 species
GGUAAGGUGGCCGAAUAGUAAAGCGGCAGGUUGUAAUUCUGCUUAUGGAGGUUUAGUAAGUCCUCUCCUUUCCA